AUUGAACGCUGGCGGCAUGCCUUACACAUGCAAGUCGAACGGUAACAGGUCUUCGGAUGCUGCGAGUGGCGAACGGGUGAGUAAUACAUCGGAACGUGCCCGAGAGUGGGGGAUAACGAGGCGAAAGCUUUGCUAAUACCGAUACGAUCUACGGAUGAAAGCAGGGGACCGCAAGGCCUUGCGCUCAUGGAGCGGCCGAUGGCAGAUUAGGUAGUUGGUGAUAAAAGCUUACCAAGCCGACGAUCUGUAGCUGGUCUGAGAGGAUGAUCAGCCACACUGGGACUGAGACACGGCCCAGUCCUACGGGAGGCAGCAGUGGGGAAUUUUGGACAAUGGGCGAAAGCCUGAUCCAGCCAUGCCGCGUGCAGGAUGAAGGUUCGGGUUGUAAACUGCUUUUGUACGGAACGAAAAGACUUUUUCUAAUAAAGAGAGUCCAUGACGGUACCGUAAGAAUGCACCGGCUAACUACGUGCCAGCAGCCGCGGUAAUACGUAGGGUGCAAGCGUUAAUCGGAAUUACUGGGCGUAAAGCGACGUANGCGGAUUGNUAANUUANGGGUGAAAUCCCAGGGCUCAACCCUGGAACUGCCUCUAAUACUGGCAAUCUCNAGAGCAAAGUUUACUUGUCGGUGGCGCAGCUAACGCAUUAAGCUCUCCGCCUGGGGAGUACGGUCGCAAGAUUAAAACUCAAAGGAAUUGACGGGGACCCGCACAAGCGGUGGAUGAUGUGGAUUAAUUCGAUGCAACGCGAAAAACCUUACCUACCCUUGACAUGGAUGGAAUCCUGAAGAGAUUUGGGAGUGCUCGAAAGAGAGCCAUCACACAGGUGCUGCAUGGCUGUCGUCAGCUCGUGUCGUGAGAUGUUGGGUUAAGUCCCGCAACGAGCGCAACCCUUGUCAUUAGUUGCUACGAAAGGGCACUCUAAUGAGACUGCCGGUGACAAACCGGAGGAAGGUGGGGAUGACGUCAAGUCCUCAUGGCCCUUAUGGGUAGGGCUUCACACGUCAUACAAUGGUACAUACAGAGGGCCGCCAACCCGCGAGGGGGAGCUAAUCCCAGAAAGUGUAUCGUAGUCCGGAUUGGAGUCUGCAACUCGACUCCAUGAAGUUGGAAUCGCUAGUAAUCGCGGAUCAGCAUGUCGCGGUGAAUACGUUCCCGGGUCUUGUACACACCGCCCGUCACACCAUGGGAGCGGGUUUUACCAGAAGUGGGUAGCCUAACCGCAAGGAGGGCGCUCACCACGGUAGGAUUCGUGACUGGGGUGAAGUCGUAACAAGGUAACC
rnacentral:rRNA from 1 species